rnacentral:rRNA from 1 species
GAGUGGGACUAAGCCAUGCGAGUUAACGCAGCAAUGCGUGGCAUACGGCUCAGUAACACGUAGUCAACAUGCCCAGGGGACGUGGAUAACCUCGGGAAACUGAGGAUAAACCGCGAUAGGCCAUGAUUUCUGGAAUGGAUCAUGGCUGAAACCUACAUGGCCCCUGGAUUGGACUGCGGCCGAUCAGGCUGUUGGUGAGGUAAUGGCCCACCAAACCUGUAACCGGUACGGGCUCUGAGAGGAGGAGCCCGGAGAUGGGCACUGAGACAAGGGCCCAGGCCCUAUGGGGCGCAGCAGGCGCGAAACCUCUGCAAUAGGCGAAAGCUUGACAGAGUUACUCUGAGUGAUGUCCGUUAAGGGCGUCUUUUGGCACCUCUAAAAAUGGUGCAGAAUAAGGGGUGGGCAAGUCUGGUGUCAGCCGCCGCGGUAAUACCAGCACCCCGAGUGGUCGGGACGAUUAUUGGGCCUAAAGCAUCCGUAGCUUGUUCUGCAAGUCCUCCGUUAAAUCCACCUGCUCAACAGAUGGGCUGCGGGGGAUACUACAGGGCUAGGAGGCGGGAGAGGCAAGCGGUACUCAGUGGGUAGGGGUAAAAUCCUCUGAUCCACUGAAGACCACCAGUGGCGAAGGCGGCUUGCCAGAACGCGCUCGACGGUGAGGGAUGAAAGCUGGGGGAGCAAACCGGAUUAGAUACCCGGGUAGUCCCAGCUGUAAACGAUGCAGACUCGGUGAUGGGUUGGCUUUGGGCCAACCCAGUGCCGCAGGGAAGCCGUUAAGUCUGCCGCCUGGGGAGUACGGUCGCAAGACUGAAACUUAAAGGAAUUGGCGGGGGAGCACCACA